UGUGGGAGCGAGCCUGCUCGCGAAUCAGGUUUGUCAGGUAGCGAAUGCAUCGCCUGAUACAUCGCUUUCGCGAGCAGGCUCGCUCCCACA
rnacentral:misc_RNA from 1 species